UUUGUCGACAGGCGGUGAUGUAAAAAAUUAAUAAUAACUCUGAUUAUAAAAGGUGAAAGCUGCGCAUUGUUAUAUUAUAUUCGGUUUGUUCUUGUUACUGGCAAUUGAAAGUAGGCCAUCAGAAUUGAUAUAGAAGAGUUCAAUAACCUUAUAGAAUUUUCAUUCAAUUAGUUGACUUUGAAAAAAUAUAUAACUUUCUAAACCUGUUGUCCUUAUAGCUUUCUUCCGACUGAAUUAGUAGAUUUGUUUUUUAAAUUUGCAGACCUACUAUUCAAAUUUUGCGGUUGGAAAUUUAAUGGAGCGGGAAAUCGUUAAGAAAAAGGAACUUUUUGAGAACCUUUUCAGUUUUAAAAAUAAAUGUCGCCCAUUAUUAUGCGGAUGUAAUAAGCGGUUGUCGUGAGUGACAUUCAUUUGAGGAAGAUAAGUUUCUAGUCAGCAAAUUUUGUCGACGAAUAUCUUCCACAUGGGAUAGAAGUCACGACGUCACUCAGAGAAAUCGACCUCAAUCUUUUGACCAUUGACCAAUGUGCGUGUACAAAUGCGAUUUUAUGCCAAUUGCUCAAUCAUUUUCAAACCCGGCGGCCUUCUAUACGCAAACAUCACCAGAUCAAAUAUAGACACUGCUGGAGAAUCCAAAUUCAAAACAUUCAAAAAUCGCUCAAGGAGAAAUGAUAUGCGAAAUCAUUUGAAAAUGGUGCAACCAAUAGCCGACCAAGUACAUAAUCUAAAGCCCAUUAUAUUCGUAGUUGUGCGUGCGCUUCAGCACGUAUAGUUAGAACGAUUAUUUCCCGGCCAGCUGGGCACGCACCUGACGUACAGCAGGUACGUACAGUAGUAUUUGCUGAGGGAAAAUAGAUUUCACGAACGGCCCAGCAGCGGUACCGCGAUAGAGCUGCUGUAUUUACUCGACUAGAUCAAACAAAUUUUCUAACCAAUUCCAACCAGAUUUUCUAUAUUAAAAGCGCUGCUGAACAGAUGCGCAUCCGCAAUUACCGGAACCGUAUCAAGCUGUAGCAAUAAGGAAUCGAUCGAUUACUAUCAGCGAUAUGGCAACGAGUAUAAAUUGACGGGUCGUUUGAUGUAGAGGCCCAUAUUAUAUCUCCUGUCCAGCUCCAAAAUGAAAUUCUUCGCGAUCCUAGUCCUGAUUUUCGUGUGCCUCGCUGUCGCUGCGGAGGCCCAGACGACGAAAAAGCCCAAACCGACGACUGCGCCCAAGCCGACUGCUGGACCUAAGCCAUCUGCUAAGCC